UACGUAGGGUGCAAGCGUUGUCCGGAAUUAUUGGGCGUAAAGAGCUCGUAGGCGGUUUGUCGCGUCGGCUGUGAAAACUCGGGGCUCAACCCCGAGCCUGCAGUCGAUACGGGCAAACUAGAGUGUGCUAGGGGAGACUGGAAUUCCUGGUGUAGCGGUGAAAUGCGCAGAUAUCAGGAGGAACACCGGCGGCGAAGGCGGGUCUCUGGGGCAUAACUGACGCUGAGGAGCGAAAGCGUGGGGAGCGAACAGG
rnacentral:rRNA from 1 species